UCACUUUCAACAACGGAUCUCUUGGUUCUCGCAUCGAUGAAGAACGUAGCAAAGUGCGAUAAGUAAUGUGAAUUGCAGAAUUCCGUGGAUCAUCGAAUUUUUGAACGCAAAUUGCACUCUUUUCACGAAGAGUAUGCCUGUUUGAGGGUCAUUA
rnacentral:rRNA from 1 species